UUAUCACGUUGAAACACCGGUUCUCAUACGAACACUGGAGUUAAGCAAUAUCGAGCCGAGUCAGUAACUAGAUGGGUGGCAGUAUGGGAAUACCAGGUUGUUA